GAAGGGGGCGAGCGUUGUUCGGAAUUACUGGGCGUAAAGGGCGCGUAGGCGCUCUUUAAGUUAGGCGUGAAAGCCCCGGGCUCAACCUGGGAACUGCGCUUAAAGACUAGAGAGCUAGAAAACUAAGAGGGUAGUGGAAUUCCCAGUGUAGAGGUGAAAUUCGUAGAUAUUGGGAAGAACACCAGUGGCGAAACGGCUACCUGGUCCGGAUUUGACGCUGAGGCGCGAAAGCGUGGGGAGCAAACAGGAUUAGAUACCCUGGUAGUCCACGCCGUAAACGAUGUCUCAUAGUGUCGGGGGUUGGCCCUUCGGUGUCGCCGUCAACGCAUUAAGCAGACCGCCUGGGGAGUACGGUCGCAAGAUUAAAGCUCAAAGGAAUUGACGGGGGCCCGCACAAGGCGUGGAGCAUGUGGUUUAAUUCGAAGCAACGCGCAGAACCUUACCAGUCCUUGACAUGAGAGUUGUUCCGAGGACGAUUCCUACGUUCGUCGUCUCACACAGGUGCUGCAUGGCUGUCGUCAGCUCGUGUAGUGAGAUGUUGGGUUAAGUCCCGCAACGAGCGCAACCCUCAUCUUUAGUUGCCAGCAGGUUAGGCCGGCACUCUAGAGAAACUGCCUGCGAUGAGAGGAGGAAGGUGGGGAUGACGUCAAGUCCUCAUGGCCCUUAUGGACUGGGCUACACACGUGCUACAAUGGCGGUGACAAUGGGCAGCGAAGGGGCGACCUGGAGCAAAUCCCAAAAAACCGUCCCAGUUCGGAUUGUACUCUGCAACUCGAGUGCAUGAAGUUGGAAUCGCUAGUAAUCGCGGUCAGCAUGCCGCGGUGAAUACGUUCCCGGGCCUU
rnacentral:rRNA from 1 species